rnacentral:rRNA from 1 species
UUAAUUGAAGAGUUUGAUCAUGGCUCAGAUUGAACGCUGGCGGCAGGCCUAACACAUGCAAGUCGAGCGGCAGCACAGAGGAACUUGUUCCUUGGGUGGCGAGCGGCGGACGGGUGAGUAAUGCCUGGGAAAUUGCCCGGUAGAGGGGGGAUAACCAUUGGAAACGAUGGCUAAUACCGCAUAACCUCGCAAGAGCAAAGCAGGGGACCUUCGGGCCUUGCGCUACCGGAUAUGCCCAGGUGGGAUUAGCUAGUUGGUGAGGUAAGGGCUCACCAAGGCGACGAUCCCUAGCUGGUCUGA